CUGGAGUCUGUACAAGGGGGAACAGUCCCAUCAAGUUUGGGAACCAGAAGGACCAGGCUGGCCUCGUUGGGCUGCUGUCCUCUAGCCUCUCCCAAAUGAUGGCCUUGGGAUCUCUUUGUUGCCUAGUGUGGACACAGCCCUCAUAGGAUGCUCUUACCAUUAGCACAGACACACCAUUCCACCUGCAGGUGGCUCAGGUGGAUUUUUCUAGGCUUUUCUGAGAAGAACGCAAGGAAGUUUUUCUAGAAGGACAGCUCUCUGGUGGAGACAAAGUGUCUGCAAGGCAGUGAGGGGAGCGCAAACAUACAUGAGAGUUUUCAGUCCAGUGAUGGAGAAAAACCAACUUGGUAAGCAGAAGUUUGAGUAGUCCCAACUCCCUACGGUCUGAAUACGAAGCUCUGGGCAGGAUGUGAUACAUGCAUAAAAAUGAGGUGAGAAAACUCCCUUGUGAAAGGUGCCCUCCCUGUAUCAGGAGGAAGGGAAGAUAUUCUUAUCAUCAGAGACAGAGAGCUGGGAGCCAAGAAAUCUGUACCAACAAGCUACUUAAACUAACCCUUCUCUUCCUGGUUGCUUCUUCACCGCUUAUGACACCUAGUCCGUCAUUUACUAUACUCCCUUGAUCCAUUUUGUCUCCCAUUCUUCCAGACACCUAUUCAAACUCUCCUCUCCACCUAUGUUCAACUUCCCUUCCCCCGUCUCCACCCUCAGCAGAGAACUUUGCUAAUUCUCUGAGAAAGGGAAAAGCAUCAAAAGACAGCCUCCACAAGCCCCCAUUACCAGCUACAGAAAUUAACUCGAAAUGGAUCAUAGACCUAAAUGAAUAUGCUGAAGCCAUAAAAUCUUUAGAAGAAAACAUAGCAGUAAAUCUUUGUGAUCUUGGGUUAAGAAAAAGUUUCCUAGAUAUGACACCAAAAUCACAAAUAACAGAAGAAAAAUAAAUUGGAGAAGUAAAAAUAAAAAUAACCUCUGUGCUUCAAAGGAUGUCAUUAGAAAAUGGAAAGACAACCCACAGAACAACAGAAAAUAUUUGCAAAACAUACUCGAUAGGGAACUUGUGUCUAGAAUUUAUAAAGGGCUCUUCUGAACUCAAUGAUAAAAAGACAACCGUGGGCAAUGGAUCUGAGUAGACAUCCUCCGAAGGAGAUAUACAGAAGGCCAAUGAGCAUAUUCAAAGGCAUUCAGUAUCACUAGUCAUUAAAGAAAUACAAAAAAAAAAAAA